ensembl:lncRNA
GGCUAUUCGUGUCUUAGCUUUUUUUCCAUUUUAUAAGAAACUAUCCUCGACUAGUUUCGCUCACUUGCUGUCCGAGCAUGAUGGAGCGUAUUGGGUUCUUCUGUCUCCUGCUUUGUGGAAGCAUACACAUGAUCAGCAAUGCAACAUCAACCCUUGAAACCCCGUCUACUAAAUCAAGCAGCAUCACAAAUGAGGGAGCAGAUAAGUCAGCACCCACAUCUAAUGCAUCAAGCAACAACAAAAAUGAGGAAAAAGCAACAUCAACCCUUCAAACCCCGUCUACUGAAUCAAUCAACAUCACAAAUGAGGGAGCAGGUACAAAUAACAUAACCGCAUCCAUAACUGCUACAGAAGCUGCAACAACUACACCAACAUCCAAAACUAACAGCACAGGGACAAACGCUACCGAAACUGCAACGACUACAUCCACAUCCACAACUAACAUCACAGGGACAAACGCAACCGAAACUGCAAUGACUACAACCAAAUCCACAACUAACAGCACAGAGACAAAGGCAACCGAAACUGCAAUGACUACAACCACAUCCACAACUAAUAAAACGAACAGAACAGGCACAACGGCACCAAAAACUGCAACAAAUACAACUCACCAUUCAUCUGGAGGAACAACUCAAGUUCUGGGGAUUUUCCUGAUCACAGUUACAGUAGGCUGCUGUUCUGCUGUGGUGCUGAUUCUGUACUCACUGAGAUAUUUCUACAAAAAGAAAGUGCAUGCUGUUAAGCGGAAUCAGGAGCAUUUCUAUGACUCUAUUGAUGACUUUGCGACAGCCACACAAUUUGCAAGUGACCGAAAAAACACACAGGAAAACAUCUACUACCUGGCAACCUUUCCAGGGGCCCAAAAGACAGAUAACCAGCAGAUUACCUACGAGACCAUAUAUCCCCUGAAAGACUCCACACCAAAGGAAGAAGAUGAACAGCUAUAUACCCAUGUCAUAAAGCCAAAAGAAUAAUCUCUGGACUUCGCUGUGACUUCAUUACUGCUCUAUUCUAUUCCAGCCUCCUGUUUUAUUAAAUUGUUCUGUUGUUUAACUGGUUAUGACUUUCAGAGUUCUUACACAGGCUACAGAGUUGUGUAAAAUGAUACACAGUGCUGAAAUUUCUCUUUUGUAUCAGUAUGUAAAAUUCACCAUUUCCUGCUACAUCUUAUAACAUUCAGAAUAUUAUUAUCUAUGUUUUAACUCACUGUUGUUUUGAAUUACAUGUUGUUUGUGUGCAUAAACACCAAACAUGACUCACUUUAUCAGAUAACUAUUAAUAGAAUCAGGAAACUUCAGUUAUACAAGGAACCUGACUUACACAAUUUUUUUUAAAUUGGGUAUAUGAGUGUUUUGUUCUAUUACUGUUUACUCUUUUUACUUAAAAGUUGGUUAUUUUUCUCUUAAUAUUUCAAUUUUAUAAAUGCUGUUCUUUGUACUUGUACAUGUCAUUUAGUUUUAGCGGAUAUUCAGAUAUCUGAAAAAUACUAUUUUGUUUCUAUUUGCACCCAGUGUCAAGCAUUCCUGAUCAGAGACAGCUUGUUGUUAGUUUUUUUAUCAAGGUAAACUUUAUUUUAUUUUUUUCUUAUAAUACUGUUAUUUGGUUUGAUCGCUGUUUUCUAAGUAGCAUUUUGUAAACAUUUUCUAA